rnacentral:rRNA from 1 species
GACGAACGCUGGCGGCGUGCUUAACACAUGCAAGUCGAACGGAAAGGCCCUGCUUUUGUGGGGUGCUCGAGUGGCGAACGGGUGAGUAACACGUGAGUAACCUGCCCUUGACUUUGGGAUAACUUCAGGAAACUGGGGCUAAUACCGGAUAGGAGCUCCUGCUGCAUGGUGGGGGUUGGAAAGUUUCGGCGGUUGGGGAUGGACUCGCGGCUUAUCAGCUUGUUGGUGGGGUAGUGGCUUACCAAGGCUUUGACGGGUAGCCGGCCUGAGAGGGUGACCGGCCACAUUGGGACUGCGAUACGGCCCAGACUCCUCCGGGAGGCAGCAGUGGGGAAUAUUGCACAAUGGGCGGAAGCCUGAUGCAGCAACGCCGCGUGCGGGAUGACGGCCUUCGGGUUGUAAACCGCUUUCGCCUGUGACGAAGCGUGAGUGACGGUAAUGGGUAAAGAAGCACCGGCUAACUACGU